CUGGAGCUUCCUCGGGCCCCUCCUCUUCCUCUUGCCUCCCACCAUGUCGUCCAGGUUGCGGACAUCAGGAAGGGCCUCCCUGCAGGUGACACAGCAUUCCCAGACAGACACAUGGACACAAGGACAACCACCUGGAUCCCCCUCAGCCAGGUGACACCGCUCACCUGCCUCCUCAGAGAAGCUCAGUGCCCGGAUUGGAGCCACGCUGGCACUCGGAUGCUCCCACACCAGGACCAGAUCCCGGAGCUCUGCCAGGGCACAGCGACAAGUGACAGUGAGAGAUCCACACUGUGGGACACAAGGCAGAGCUGCUGGAGACAAACUGCACGUGGCAGGUAAAAAUAAACAACUAAAAAUGGCCAAUC